rnacentral:rRNA from 1 species
CAGCCUGAGAAACGGCUACCACAUCCACGGAAGGCAGCAGGUGCGCAAAUUGCCCAAUUCUGACUCAGAGAGGCAGUGACAAGAAAUACCGAGAUGCGACCCAAGGUUGCUUAUUCGGAAUGAGAACAAUYUAAAAACCUUAACGAGGAUCCAUUGGAGGGCAAGUCUGGUGC